AUGAACGCUAGCGGCAGGCUUAAUACAUGCAAGUCGAGGGGCAGCGGGGGUAGCAAUACUCGCCGGCGACCGGCAAACGGGUGCGGAACACGUACGCAACCUUCCCAAAACUGGUGAAUAGCCCUCCGAAAGGAGGAUUAAUACACCGUAAGAUAAUUGAGUGGCAUCAUUUGAUUAUUAUAGCUCCGGCGGUUUUGGAUGGGCGUGCGCCUGAUUAGGUAGUUGGUAGGGUAACGGCCUACCAAGCCAACGAUCAGUAACUGGUGUGAGAGCACGACCAGUCACACGGGCACUGAGACACGGGCCCGACUCCUACGGGAGGCAGCAGUAAGGAAUAUUGGUCAAUGGACGCAAGUCUGAACCAGCCAUGCCGCGUGCAGGAUGAAGGCCCUCUGGGUUGUAAACUGCUUUUAUCUGGGACGAAAAAAGGGGAUUCUUCCUCACUUGACGGUACCAGAGGAAUAAGCACCGGCUAACUCCGU
rnacentral:rRNA from 1 species